CAGUCGUACCUGCGGGUAAUCAGCCUUUUGGGCAUGAUUCUGUGGAGCGUGAGGAGUUAAACGCCUUCAUGCCUACAUAUUCGUGUACUUUUGGGUGUACUUGCCUGUGUGGUUAGUUAACAUCAAUUUUGGUUAUCAUAAAAUGGUUGGAGGAAUGUAGCUUCGAUCUCGUAUUGAAGUGUUAUAGCCUUCGGCAGAUGUGAUGAUCGAGAUUGAGGAUUGCAAUGGAUACCCUUGGGGCUACCUGUCUGAUCUCUGAUCGUUGCUCGUGUACCGAAGCGUGCUUACGGUAUCAAAGUCGAUGGCAACGAGGUUAGAACGGGUUUAAAUUCGGUU
rnacentral:rRNA from 1 species